rnacentral:rRNA from 1 species
CCUACGGGUGGCAGCAGUGAGGAAUAUUGGUCAAUGGGCGCGAGCCUGAACCAGCCAAGUAGCGUGAAGGAUGACUGCCCUACGGGUUGUAAACUUCUUUUAUAAAGGAAUAAAGUGAGGCACGUGUGCCUUUUUGUAUGUACUUUAUGAAUAAGGAUCGGCUAAAUCCGUGCCAGCAGCCGAGGUAAUACGGAGGAUCCGAGCGUUACCCGGAUUGAUUGGGUUUAAAGGGAGCGUAGGUGGGUUGUUAAGUCAGUUGUGAAAGUUUGCGGCUCAACCGUAAAAUUGCAAUUGAUACUGGCAGUCUAGAGUACAGUUGAGGUAGGCGGAAUGCGAGGUGUAGCGGUGAAAUGCUUAGAUAUGACGAAGAACUCCGAUGGCGAAGGCAGCUUACUAAGCUGCCACUGACAUUGAUGCGCGAAAGUGUGGGUAUCAAACAGGAUUAGAUACCCUGGUAGUC